CUUUACCCAGCUGCCGUUACUCUAGAGCGCGCGCCUGUGAACUGGAAGAGCGUCCUUCUCAGCAACUGUGGACCACUGGGGCGUUGGCCUCCAGGAGGAAAAGGUGGCAGCAGCCAUUCUGAGAAGACAUGCGAUGAAUAGAAGCCUGGCUCCAGGCAGGAAACCGAGAGCAUAAGGAUAGUGGCUACCUGAAAGCCUGAAAGAUGCAGAAGACCAAGACAGGGGUGGACCAGAAAACCCCAGCAUUUUGGGGAGGUAUGGAGGACCAGAGUACUGGUGUGGAAUAGCCACCUUGAGUUCAACUGCCAGGCUGGACAGAGAUUUCGCAAGUUUUUUACGAAAACAGUAACUUGCACAUCAACAAGUUGAUUGUGGACCUAACUUUCACAAGAAAGAGAAAUCUGGCCUCUACGACAAACAGCUCAAACCACAAUGAGCUCUUCAGAACUCCUGCUGACAUUU